AGGAAGAGGAAGCUGGUUUGAGGAUUGAGUAGGAAAUUCCAGGCUGUACUGCUGUAAAAGCAGCCGGACACAGCCCAAACCCAGGCAGGGGGCUCUGCUGCUGCUCCAGGCUGGCGCUGGGCGCCGGGAAAGCUGGCUUUGCUCUGCUAUCCUGGUCAGGAUUGGUGCAUGAGAAAAUAGCACCAGGUUUUCCUAACCUUCAUGGCAACGCUUCCAACCUGAGGACCCAGUACUUUCUGGAAAGGAAAUUCCUUUCUUUCCACCACUGAGACGGUACCAGCCUUGUCCGAGAGGAAAGCAGCCACCUCCAUUCCUGCAAGGGAAAGGCGUGCCCGAGGUGAGCCGGCUGCAAGCAACAACCUGCACCCUCCUUCUUGGAAACCUUUUCCCUUCCCAGGUCGGCACCUGGGACUUUGAGGAAGCUGGAGCUGGAGGAGAUACCUCUCAUGAUCAGAAAUUAAACAGAAUAAGCCUGUUGCAAUGAGCAGCUGAUUGUACUUCUGCGAGGACCCAUCCAUGAACUGGACUUUCUGCUUCUGGAAAUCCACCGACACUGCCUGCAGGAGAAAGGAGGCAAAGCUCCAACAGAGCUCUAUGCAACGAGCAUGGAGGAAUUCAGGCUUCCUCAGGUAGAUGUCUUCAGCUUUCAAGUUCAUGUUCUGGAAAUAAAACAGAAAUAUGAAACAAAGCCCUUCUUGCAGCCAGUGGAACCGUUGCGGCGUUUACUGGGAAGUGAGUUUGCACAGGAGGCAGAUAUUGUAUUGGUAAAUCACAGCUCCCCACUCUGCCCCAUCCCUUCAUCAUCCUGUUCCCCCUUAUCAAAAAACAUCAACUCAAACUCUAGCGGGAAGAUCUCGGUGAAAGGGGUUGAAACUUUCGCUUAUGGUGAACUCUUCAUGGGUGGACCCUUCCAACCCAAACCGUUCUAUGACUUUGAUCAAAGACCUUCUGGGAGGAAGAAGUGGAAUGUUAUCUGGAUAUGGUACCCCUCGGGUGCCUCAGUGCUCCUGCUGCUUGGCCACAACGGCUCACUCAACUGCUCAGCCUGGUCCUGGGUGUGGGCCAUGUCCCAGUUUCACACAUGGUACCCAGGCACAGUCCUGCCCUCCUCGCAU